rnacentral:rRNA from 1 species
GAUGAACGCUGGCGGCGUGCCUAAUACAUGCAAGUCGAGCGAACAGACGAGGAGCUUGCUCCUCUGACGUUAGCGGCGGACGGGUGAGUAACACGUGGAUAACCUACCUAUAAGACUGGGAUAACUUCGGGAAACCGGAGCUAAUACCGGAUAAUAUAUUGAACCGCAUGGUUCAAUAGUGAAAGACGGUUUUGCUGUCACUUAUAGAUGGAUCCGCGCCGCAUUAGCUAGUUGGUAAGGUAACGGCUUACCAAGGCAACGAUGCAUAGCCGCCCUGAGAGGGGGAGGGGCCAGAAGGGAACUGAGACACGGUCGAGACGACGACGGGAGGGAGCAGGAGGGAAUCUGCGGAAAUGGGCGAAGGCCCGAAGGAGUAUAGCAGCGUGAGUGAAGAAGGUCUUAGGAACUUAAAACUCUGUUAUUAGGAAAGAACAAAGGUGUAAGUAACUAUGCACGUCUUGACGGGACCUAAUCAGAACGCCACGGCUAACUACGUG